rnacentral:miRNA from 1 species
AAUGAAUUUAAUCUAUAUUAAUUUUAAUAAAUACAAUAUUAAUAGUAUUACAAAAGUUAAUUUAAUAUAAUAUUUAGUAAAUAAAUAUUAUAUAAAAU